rnacentral:RNase_P_RNA from 1 species
AGUAAGCCGGGCAAUCGCGGCGAACGAAGUUCGACGAGGAAAGUCCGAGCUCCAUAGGGCAAGGGUGCCGGAUAACGUCCGGUGGAGGCGACUCUAAGGAUAGUGCAACAGAAAACAACCGCCCGCAAGGGUAAGGAUGGAAAGGCGAGGUAAGAGCUCACCGGCGGUACGGAGACGUACCGGCCGUGUAAACCCCACCCGGAGCAACGCCAUAAUGCGGAGAAUUAAGUCUGCCCGACGCUCUCCCGCCUUGGCGGCUAAAGGCGUGCAGCAAUGUACGGCGUAGAUAGAUGAUUGCUCAAGACAGAACUCGGCUUACAGACUUACUCGC